AAAAAGUCCAGAGAAAAUGUCGCUAAACUUCGCUCUUGUUUCUCUAAAAAGUAUUUCCCAGAAACGUAAAAGACGAACGCAGAGAGAGGUUGUUAAACUGACCACAGCAAACUAAAACACGGUUCAGCCUCUUAAUGGAUUCACCUGUCGUCGAGAGGAGCAACCACGAGGGCUUACUUUGUUACCAUGGAUACUGACUGAACGCAUGCAGCCUCGUGUGAGGUGUAGUGUGUAGGAUCUGACGGCUGAAACUUCUCCCGUGUGCCAAACGUGUAGGAGAACUACGGUGGCUGAUGGGAAAACGAGCCAGUGUACGGUUUGUCCAUUCUGGGCUUCUGUAGAAACAUGUCAGCCAGCUCCGUGUAGAGGAUCCGCUCCGUAUGUAGAUAUAAACAGCUCAUUCUAAGUGUGGCACUCUGUACCUUGGAUGAUCUGGUGAGUUUGGUCCAAAGCGUGACUGUGGAGAGACACCAGCUCGGGAAUGAGAAGCACCCUUGGUCUGCGGUUUCCAGGAAAAGCGGCGAGGUUCUCAAGG